UUAAGGGAGACCUACUAUCACUUGCAACCCGAAAAAAACGCAAGGAUUGAUAGACAUCCCAAGGUCGUGCCAGAGUAAGAGAGUAGAAGUAAUUUCCAACUAUUUAUCAGUGGUUCGUAAAAAAAAGCACCUUGAAAACUGCAUAGAAAAUAGGUAAAGAAAAGAUAUCGAAAAGAUAUCCAGGUGAAGGAAAAAACCAGGUCAAGCUACAAAGAGCUAACGGUGGAUACCUAGGCACACAGAGGCGAGG
rnacentral:misc_RNA from 1 species